GGGAAUGUGGCUUAGUGGAAGAGUGCUUGCCUUACAUACAUGAAGCCGUGGGUUCGAUUCCUCAGUACCA
rnacentral:tRNA from 1 species